rnacentral:rRNA from 1 species
UACGGAGGGUGCAAGCGUUAAUCGGAAUUACUGGGCGUAAAGCGCGCGCAGGCGGUCCUUUAAGUCUGAUGUGAAAGCCCACGGCUCAACCGUGGAGGGUCAUUGGAAACUGGGGGACUUGAGUACAGAAGAGAAGAGUGGAAUUCCACGUGUAGCGGUGAAAUGCGUAGAGAUGUGGAGGAACACCAGUGGCGAAGGCGACUCUUUGGUCUGUAACUGACGCUGAGGCGCGAAAGCGUGGGGAGCAAACAGG